GCCUACGGGGCGCAGCAGUGAGGAAUAUUGGUCAAUGGCCGCAGGGCUGAACCAGCCAAGUCGCGUGAGGGAUGACGGUCCUAUGGAUUGUAAACCUCUUUUGUCAGGGAGCAAUUGGGUCCACGCGUGGGCUUAGCGAGAGUACCUGAAGAAAAAGCAUCGGCUAACUCCGUGCCAGCAGCCGCGGUAAUACGGAGGAUGCGAGCGUUAUCCGGAUUUAUUGGGUUUAAAGGGUGCGUAGGCGGAAUAUCAAGUCAGCGGUAAAAAUUCGGGGCUCAACCCCGUCGUGCCGUUGAAACUGAUGU
rnacentral:rRNA from 1 species